GUCAGCAAAGGAAAUCAAUUAUCGUAGUGACACUUGGUUGAUCCCACGCACCAAAUCAUGCAUAUAAGCAUGCCCCAUUCAAAUAACGUCUAUUGUUCAUUCAUACAUCCUAUUUGAUGCUAUAGUCUUCUUAUCAGCAUUGGAUGUACAGCAGGAACAUAAGCUUUAAAUUCGUAUUCAUUGGGACUGUAAACCCUUCCCUUUUUAUGCCGAAGACAAGAGGAUACUCAACCUAAUCAAGAAAUGAUGGAAAUUAAAAAGGAGAUUCUGAGGACCACCCUUUGUGUUUUCUUUGUGGUGACUGCAUCUUAUUCCAAACCAGUCAGUCUGCAUGGAUUCCAGUUCAGAAACCUGAUGGCUGACAGCCUGGAAUCUUCUGAGUCUUCUGAGUCCAACGAGUCUUCUGAGAACAUUGGCGUAGCACCACAGACAACCAAUGGCCAGCCAAUGGUCACUGGCGCUGAGACUGCAAUACCAGACACAGAGGAGGAGACCGAUCCACAAGACAGCGAUGCUAUAGCCUCUGAAACAGCCUCAGCGGUUGAUGAUGCUUUGAUCGCUUCACAAACUGCACUUGGAACUGACGCCUCAUCAGCAGACUCACUAAAUGGGACAGAAACUGAGACUACUUCACAACAUCCAGUCAUAAUCACAGUGACUGAUUCUCCCAGUCUGACUUCUGAUGUCAUAACCCAUAUUAGGUCUAUGGUCACGACGGCUCUUCCAUCAAUCAUUGACACAGCUACAAUCCAAGAAUUCCAUGUGGGCACAACACUUUCCCCGAGCCCAUACCCCAUACCCAUUAUGGAGCAGCCAACAACUCCACCAGUCUCCUCAGUACUAGGCCUAACUCCCCAGCAGCCAGUUCCAUGGGAAACCACUGAUGACAUAUCUGCUGUGCCAGGUUGUUUUACUGUAGUAUACAUAACUAGCCCUCAGCCAGUUCAUGCUAGAGGCGAUAACAUUUAAAGCUGAGAGGAACCUAUAAUAUCUUUGAUUAAAGAUGGAAUCCGAAGUAGGGGGAACAGCGUCACUGGCCACCCCACCACUGUUGUUAUUGUUUUUGUUGCCGAGCUUAGGAGCGUCGGCAAGGAUGGUAAAAAUGUUUGCAUGUAUUGCCGUGUAAUGAUGUCCGAGGCGGAAAAAACGGUGUUCUUUGUUUGUAGUAACUUCUUUGUUGUUGUAAUAUUGCAAACGGACAUGGCUGUUUCACCAUUAAGGAUUCUAGCUUUAAAGGUCCAAUGCAGCCAUUUUUUUUAUCUCAAUAUCAAAUAAUUUCUGGGAAACAAUUAAGUACUUUACUGUCAUUGUUAUGAAUUAAAAUUGUCAAAAUUCAAAAGUCACUUCACAUCUUUGUUGCAGGUGGAUGCUAACAGUUUAAUAAGAUGAAAGCUCUGACGAAGGCUUUGAGGCCGAUACAUAAAGCUUAGUAAAGAGCAGUGAUACUAGCAAGAGCAGUGUGCGGGUUUCUUAUUAUUUCUCAAAUUAAAAUUGUCAAAAAGAAACAAAAAUAUAUUCUUAGUAAAGAGCAAUUUCUCAAGCAAAAAUGUUGCUAGGACUGUCUGGUAGUGGUCUGAGUGGGUAGGGGAAAACUGAACAUUUGCUGUUAUUGGCAAGAGAGGUUUGUAACUUUCUUCCUUAUUGGUCUAUUAACUAAUUUACUGCCUGGUGAUGGCCAAAACUCCAUCCCAUCAAAACAGGCUAAGAUUUCAGGCAGUCUUUUCAAACAGCUCUUAAGCUAAAAGGGCAUUAUCAUAAUUUUCACAAUUUGACAGUAUUAUUCCAACUUCAUAGCAUGGAAAUAUGUAUAAAACGCAAGGAAAUCAUUUUUUGGACAGCAUUGUGCCUUUAAAUCCAGGCACAAAAGCAGACUUCUUUUUAAUUUGUCUUAGUGAGCUGCACAUUACUGACACCUACAUUAGUGCCUUGUGAGCUGGAGGGCCUGCAACUGGCUAGAACACUCAUGAAAAUGAUUCACUAGUGAUAAAGAUGCAGAUAUACCGUACCUCAUAUUGCUCAGUCUUUCACAAGACAAUCUUCAAUAUAUUUGGUGGUAGGAAGCCUAGUGGUUAGAGCGUUGGACUAGUAACAGGAAGAUUGCAAGAUCAAAUCCCCGAGCUGACAAGGUAAAAAUCUGUUGUUCUGCCCCCUAGGCCGUCAUUGAAAAUAAGAAUUUGUUCUUAACUGACUUGCCUAGUCAAAUAAAGGCAAAAUAUACUUUUGUCUGAUUUGUUUUGAAACGUGACACCUUUUGUCCUGAGAUGAUAACAGUCUGUAAUCUGAUGCAUUGGGAUUUUUCAACUCUUAAACCGCUCAAAGCCACUUGUGGUGUAAAAUGCAUACUCAUCGGAUAAUGUGGAUUGAGCAGCAUAUUAACAUUAAUAGCCUGCUCAGAAAUACCCUUUAUUUUGUAGAUCUUAUCUAUUGUCCACUUUUUGAAUCCCCACAGGAAACACCUACUAGGCACUGUUUUUCAAAUCAUCCAACUGAAAGAAGUAAGUUGUUGUUGUCUGCAUUGGGAAUUGUAUUCAUUAAAAUAUAUAAAAUGUUGA